rnacentral:misc_RNA from 1 species
CGUCCUCGAGGAUGUCAUCGCGGAGCGGGUUCCCGGAGAUCUGUCCGCGAGUCGUUUCCCAGGAACCGAGGACCAUGAUGUAACCGAAGAGGAAGAUGACUCUCUCCCAGGACAGCGCGACCACCAUCGUCUGCAGGGAGGUUUUCGACGAGGCCUCGCACCCCUCGAACGAAGAGGUUCUGGAUUAUGCGAAGCGGCUGGGAAUCGAUCCCGAUGCGGAACCGCACCUCUUGGACCUGGCGCGGGAAGGCCUCAUGGCUGCCCUGCCGAAGGGGUGGCUACCCUGCUACCACGAGGCCACGGGGUCGUGGUAUUAUUACCAGGCCUCCACGGGUACCACCACCUGGGAACAUCCCCUGGAUGCGGUCUACAAGGAAAUGGUGGAACAAGCCAGGAGUGGUAACCGACAGAUGAGCGUCGAGGAUGAUUCCAAGACGACGGCCAAAGAUCUGGAGUCCCACGAGGAGGCGACUUUGCCGAAGGAGACGCCUCUGAAGGAAAUCCCGAAGCCGGCCUUUCCUCAGUCGAAGAUCCCCUCUAAGUUGGCACCCUUGAAGAAGAGCAAGCUGGGCGCUAUCAGCAAAAGGGACUCGUCCUUGGAGAAGCUGCAGACCAAGAGAGACGACUCGAAGACGGAGAAUCCGAGCAGUCUGGCGAACGACAGAGCUUCCAGGGAUUAUACGAACCUCAGGUUCCAGGACCCGCGAUUUUACGAGCGUCCGAAACUGCUGGACGAGGCGGAGAAGAAGGAGCUGGACCUGAAGGAGGUCCUGAAGAGGUCGGAGUCGAUGAGCCCCAGGUACGAGAAGGACUGGGAGCAACUGUCCAGUAGGUUCAGCUCCGAGGAGAACAUCAUCGACAUCGACAAGCUCAGCAUCAGCUCCCUGACGAAAUCGGACAAGCCUCUGGAGAAGCUGACGGAAAAGUUCGACAAGGAGAAGCACCCCAAACAAUUGGGCCAGCAGAGAGAGCUGACCCUGAGCGGGGGUGGGUCCAUGUUCCUGAAGAGCAACAGAAGCAGAGAUACCACGCCUAGUCACGAAGUCUGCAGAAUGGAGGACUUUCAGACCUCGAUCAGAAACGAAGGUGCCGGAAGCAUGGCCGGAGAGAAGCCGAAGUCGAUCCUCCGGGAGAAGGCGUCCGAAGAUGACGACAGACCUGCGGACGAGGAGCGAAAAAUCGUGCGGUUCGACCUGGACAAGGAGGUCUUCAUCAAGUUCACGUAUUCCGGAUCCGAGGAGGAGUGGGACUCCGGGUCGGAGGACCACAUCCCGACCGCGACGGUUCCAGGAUCGUCCUUGAUCCCCGGGAAAGAGGACCUCGUCAUGGGGUCCUCGACGGAGAACAAAGAGGAGGACUCCGCCAGCAAGGAGUCGGAUAAGAAGGUGCAGGAGACCCUCCUGGACAGACUGGACACGUUCCUGAAGAGGCCGAAGGUUGUGGGCAAGCGAUUCCUCGUGGAGAACGUCUCGGAGAACGAACACCUCAGCCAAAUGUCUCGAGACCGAUCCGAAGAGCUGGACAGCGACUACGUCCCGAGUAAAUUCGAGAACAUAAAGAACAUCGACCUGAUGUCGAAGAGCGACACCGAUAGCGGGCCCAAGAGCAGCGAGUCCAAGUCCAGCAUGCUGGAGGAGAUCCGGAAGAGCAAGGAGAUCAUGCUGGAGACCAUGAAGAAGUCCGACCAGAAGAUGAGGCAGGAGAUGCAGCGAGAGAAGGAGGAGACCUACCACUUGAUGAAGAUCAAAUACGACUUGGAAUCCGCGAGGCAGGAUCGAAUGCAGCCGGUAAAGGACCUCGAAGAGGCGAAACUCGAACUGAGCAAGAAAUACGAACGAAACCUGGAGUCGAUGAAGAAAGACCUCGAAGAGAGGCUGGAGGAGACCAGGAAGGAGCUGGAGGAGAAUUUCCAUAAAGAAAAGAGGUCCCUAGUAGAGGAGUCGCUAACUAGGCUCAGGGAGCUGAAGACUGAGAUGAAGGACAGGGAGGAACAGGAGAUCCAUUGCUUAAUUUCUGAGAUGGACCGAGAGCGCCUGGAGAACCUGAAGAAAGUCAGGGGGGAACUGGAAUUAUGCUACGAGAAAGAGAAGCAGGAGAUCCUGGCGAACCUGAAGAGCGAACUCGAGGAGAAGAGGAAGGCACUGCUAGACCUUCGAAAUCAGGAAAUCGAGAAACUGGAAAAAGAACACGAGCGCCAUUUAAGCGAGGAUAAACUGGCAAAACUGAACGAGUACGAGCUCAACGAAAGACACAGUGAACAGAUCGAGACCCUGAAGAAGGAACUCGAGAAGGAGCUCGACGAGUUGCGGACCGAGCUGAGGACCCAGCAGAGGGAGAAGAUCUCCAAAAUGACCGAAGACCAUGAAAAGUGCCUAGCAGAGAUUCUUCGGGACUUCAGAAUGGAUGAGAGCUUGGCUCGCAAAGUUUACAAGCAACGACUAGAAGAGAUCAGAGCAGACUUUUCGCUGGACAUCGACAGAGAGACGAAGAAGCAGAACGAAAGGGUGGCGCGGCAAGAAAGCAUCGAUUUCGAGAAAAUCCGUUGCGAGAAGCGGCUACUGGAGGACAAGUACAAAUCAUUGAAGGAGAAGUACCUGAAGCUGAAGAACAACAUGAGAUUGGCUGUCGAGAGGAGGAGCAAACGAAGGGAGGGCAACACUACGGCGUCGGAAACCGAGAAAUCCACAUCGGCAAGGACAAGGACGGAGAUAACCGACUCAUCGGAACAGAAACUGCUGAAGAAGGCGCACUCCACCCUGAAUCCGAGCCAGAAGAGCAAGGAGCAGGAAGUCGAGGACCAAAGCGGUGCCGAGGAUUCGGAGGGCCAAAGGACGACCACGGGGUUUCCAAAGCCCGGCAGGAGCGGCGCGGGAAAAUUCGAAUCGGACGACACCACGACGGCCAGCGAGACCAACUCGAACCUGAAGAAGCGGAAGAGCUUCUCGAAGAAGGCCGCCAGCACGACGAGGCUGAACAACAACGUCGAGAACCCGGUGGAGAACAUCAGGAAGCAGCUGGAGAAGCUGGAGGACCUCGGGGACCAGUUGCCGAGUAACGAGACCGCUUACACCUUGCGAUAUCCUUUCCAGGACAAAGGUGAACCCCGAAAGGAUCCCCCUAUGCACCGAGAACUGCAUUCCGGCCGCCGAUUUCUGUGCACCUCGACCGAGAGACUUGAUUUUCCUCACUACUUCGCCACUUGUCUAGACCUUGCAUUACGCUCUAUUUUCUUUCUUUUCUAGGAUACUAUAGACUUUACUUUGGUUAAUGACUUGCCACUUUCGUCCACCCUUCCACCCGCUAAUGCUUCCUCGGAACUGGAGUUCUUCCGGCAUCGCAUCCACGUGGAGAGAGAUUCCAUGAGGAGAGCUCGCGAGGCUUUGCGG